CUCAACACAAAUCAAUCCACAGCGGUUGAGAUGAAAAGAGCUAACAACAGUGAAGUAGACGUCAAUGACGAUGAUGAUGGAACUCAGUUCCAGCAUGAAUCCUCUUCAUGGAUUCUUUUGAAUUGAGUAAAUGAAUCACCAAAAUUAGCAGGAAGCACUGGACGACAACUAAUCUCUACGGGGAAAAUAACCAAAAUGUAGAUACAAUGGUGGUCUCCAAUACACUCAAUCAACUGAUGCUAAGAGUGGCAAAAAAAGUGGUGCGAGUGUGAAGAGUUGAGGGGAUAUGAAGGAGGAGGAGGAGCAAGUUAUAUCUUCACCAGUGCGCAGCAAGUUGAGUCCAGUAAUGCCAACAUUUGUGCCUAGUCAUGCCAUGGUAGUUCCACCACUAGCCGCGGGACAUCAUCUGGCACAAGCUAGGGCUCUAAAAAGCAAUAUUGCAAAUAGAGAUAUUCUUAAUGAAUUUGUUAGUAGUAAAGUUGGAACGUUGAACUCUCUUACUCCUAUUAACAAUAGUAAGCAAUUACAAGUUGUUGGAAGUAGUUUUUUUUCUCCACAUAUUGUACAAGAUGUAAUUUUUUUUUAUGAAAGCAAGGAGAAUGAAAUUUUGGA